AGGCGAUGAUGAGAAUAAUCAUUUCUCGAUGCUGAAUUCAUGUAUGUAUAUGUAUAAUUUAUUUUGGGUAUUUGUAUGUAUCCAUUGUAAAUCUGAUGACCGAGUUUGUGCGUGUCUGAGCCUC
rfam:Daucus carota subsp. sativus cultivar DH1 chromosome 3, whole genome shotgun sequence.